CGGCGUGCUUAACACAUGCAAGUCGAACGGAAAGGCCCUGCUUUUGUGGGGUGCUCGAGUGGCGAACGGGUGAGUAACACGUGAGUAACCUGCCCUUGACUUUGGGAUAACUUCAGGAAACUGGGGCUAAUACCGGAUAGGAGCUCCUGCUGCAUGGUGGGGGUUGGAAAGUUUCGGCGGUUGGGGAUGGACUCGCGGCUUAUCAGCUUGUUGGUGGGGUAGUGGCUUACCAAGGCUUUGACGGGUAGCCGGCCUGAGAGGGUGACCGGCCACAUUGGGACUGAGAUACGGCCCAGACUCCUACGGGAGGCAGCAGUGGGGAAUAUUGCACAAUGGGCGGAAGCCUGAUGCAGCAACGCCGCGUGCGGGAUGACGGCCUUCGGGUUGUAAACCGCUUUCGCCUGUGACGAAGCGUGAGUGACGGUAAUGGGUAAAGAAGCACCGGCUAACUACGUGCCAGCAGCCGCGGUGAUACGUAGGGUGCGAGCGUUGUCCGGAUUUAUUGGGCGUAAAGGGCUCGUAGGUGGUUGAUCGCGUCGGAAGUGUAAUCUUGGGGCUUAACCCUGAGCGUGCUUUCGAUACGGGUUGACUUGAGGAAGGUAGGGGAGAAUGGAAUUCCUGGUGGAGCGGUGGAAUGCGCAGAUAUCAGGAGGAACACCAGUGGCGAAGGCGGUUCUCUGGGCCUUUCCUGACGCUGAGGAGCGAAAGCGUGGGGAGCGAACAGGCUUAGAUACCCUGGUAGUCCACGCUGUAAACGGUGGGUACUAGGUGUGGGGUCCAUUCCACGGGUUCCGUGCCGUAGCUAACGCUUUAAGUACCCCGCCUGGGGAGUACGGCCCGCAAGGCUAAAACUCAAAGGAAUUGACGGGGCCCCGCACAAGCGGCGGAGCAUGCGGAUUAAUUCGAUGCAACGCGUAGAACCUUACCUGGGUUUGACAUGGAUCGGGAGUGCUCAGAGAUGGGUGUGCCUCUUUUGGGGUCGGUUCACAGGUGGUGCAUGGCUGUCGUCAGCUCGUGUCGUGAGAUGUUGGGUUAAGUCCCGCAACAAGCGCAACCCUUGUUCACUGUUGCCAGCACGUUAUGGUGGGGACUCAGUGGAGACCGCCGGGGUCAACUCGGAGGAAGGUGGGGAUGACGUCAAGUCAUCAUGCCCCUUAUGUCCAGGGCUUCACGCAUGCUACAAUGGCUGGUACAGAGAGUGGCGAGCCUGUGAGGGUGAGCGAAUCUCGGAAAGCCGGUCUCAGUUCGGAUUGGGGUCUGCAACUCGACCUCAUGAAGUCGGAGUCGCUAGUAAUCGCAGAUCAGCAACGCUGCGGUGAAUACGUUCCCGGGGCUUGUACACACCGCCCGUCAAGUCAUGAAAGUUGGUAACACCCGAAGCCGGUGGCCUAACCGUUGUGGGGGAGCCGUCGAAGGUGGGACUGGUGA
rnacentral:rRNA from 1 species